AAUGUAUGAUAUAAUGUCUAUAUUGAUCAUCACCAGCCAAGUUCAACAUCAUUAAGAUGUGUAAUUCCAAUUGGGUCAGCUUCACUGUCAUGAGUUCCUUGAAAGUGUGAUCUUGGAAAAGUCAUAUUUGUAAAAUUUUGAAAUGGAACUCUCGACUGACUAUUUAUAAUGCGAGAUGUUUGAGUUUGAUUCUCUUGCUCUUUC
rnacentral:lncRNA from 1 species